rnacentral:rRNA from 1 species
AAGCUGGAUUCGCUAGUAAUCGCGCAUCAGCCACGGCGCGGUGAAUACGUUCCCGGGCCUUAUACACACCGCCCGUCACACCAUGGGAGUCGGAAAUGCCCGAAGUCGGUGACCCAACCGUUUAUGGAGGGAGCUGCCGAAGGCAGGUCUGGUGACUGGGGUGAAGUCGUAACAAGGUACC